UACGGAGGGUGCAAGCAUUAAUCGGAUUUAUUGGGCGUAAAGGGCGCGUAGGCGGAGAUGUAAGUCAGAUGUGAAAUCCUGGGGCUCAACCUCAGAACUGCAUUUGAAACUGCAUCCCUAGAGGGUAGGAGGAGAAAACGGAAUUCCACAAGUAGCGUUGAAAUGCGUAUAUAUGUGGAAGAACACCGGUGGCGAAGGCGGUUUUCUAUCUUAUUCCUGACGCUGAUGCGCGAAAGCAAGGGGAUCAAACAGG
rnacentral:rRNA from 1 species